CAACCCUCCGUGCCUCCCUCCUCCUUGUCACCUUCCCAAAAGCCAGGCGCAGGCGAGCAGAGCCAACAGCAACAAGUUCAAAAAGUCCAAAGAUGCCGGUUCAUCCUUGUGGUCUUCCCACCCUUGUAUACUGUAUGGUACCGAUUAAGUGGGAGGCAAAGAGACAAACUCAGCCACACAAUACUGAAUUCAUCACCAUAGUCUUCAAACCACAUCAGCUUCUGUUUUCCGCUCCUGACAAGUGAAGACCAGAAAAACCUGCAUCACCUGUCCUCGCAGACUCUCAGGGACCCAAGAGAAUCUAAACAGAAGGCCCAAGUCAUCCGGACUAUGCAGAAUGUGUGGUAAAGGUUGCCAUUGAGCUAAUGAAUGCAGAACCAAAAGGGACAUGUAAGGUAACCCUAUGACAUUGAGAAGCACCUUAGAGAGUCUCUGGGAGGUCCCAAAGUUAAAUUUGGUUCAGUCAUCCCCAUCAGCAUUGGGUGUAUCCAGAAACUUCUUGUUCCACCUGCCAGUUCCCAAAUAACCCAUCUAAGACUUAAUAUUGAUUACAAUAGCUUGGCCAAUUGCUCAGGCAUAUCACUGGCUACCUCUCACAAUUAAAUUAACCUUCCUAUUGUUUUUAUAUUAUACCAUGAGGCUUUUGGCCUGUUACCUCAUUCUGCCUUCUCUUUCUCCAUAACUGUGUUUGGAUUAUAGACAAGCUCUUGGUGAUAGAAAGAAUAUAAUAAAGC